GCGUCCGGAAGCGGAGGCGUCCGGGGGAAAAUGGCGGCCGACUUGAAAUCGGAGCGGGGCGGUCCGGGCGGAAAGCUGAGCCCGGCAGGCGGGUCCUCGGUCGGGCCGGGCCCACGGGGCUCCCGCGAGCACGUCGUGAGGCAACUGGAGCGCGUCAAGGGUCACCUUCUGUGGCACGGCAAGAGAAUCCUGCACAGCUGAUUCCGCUUGCUGCUUAGGGAAAGGCUACAUUUAAAAGUUCAUUAGUUUCCUCGUGACCGUGUCAGUGACUAAAAUUGAGUUAUGAUUCUUCAGCCAGAAAAAUGACACCGCUCUUAAAGAUCCGGGCUAUUUCCAAACACGUAUUCGUCACGUGCAAAUGUCCUCAGGAUACAGAUCGCCUGCGCUUGGUGCUCUGAUGAGACCAUACGCUGAGACAGGGAUGAGCUCCGGCAGCCAGAAAAGACACGAGGUCCUGGGGUUUUUCUCUGUCUGUCUGCUUGUUUUCUGGGGUGGGGGUGCGUGUGUUUUCAAAAACAGAGUGCACUGUUGACCUCAGGUGGCAGCCUGCAGAGCUCCCUUGCUGCCUGACCUCUCCUUUUCUUUGUCACUCCUCUUUCGUGGCUACAGCUUUUGUUCGGAUAAUUUUAGACAAGCGAUGAAGUGACUUGCCUGUGUAAAAGUGUUGGCAAUACCAGGAAGGACCGGACGGUCCUUGUAGUGUGGACUUUGAAGUUAACAUGAAGGCUUUGUCGGCUCUCCUUCUAUGGUUUUUGUAUGAAAUAGUUUAAGAAAACACUAAAAAGAGUAUAAGGUCCGUUCUGGAGCAUGUUAUGCCCAUGCAAGGCUUACUUCCCAGCAUUUAUUUUCUCUUCCUGAAAGCACAGUCUUCUCUUUCUGUGUUUCUGUGUGCUCACCAUUAAGCGAUGCCAUGAAAAAAACUGUGUACUAAAAGGGGGAAGAAACUGUUCGUAAGAGUUCAGAUGUUCAGGAGAAGGAGCCUCUGUGUUCACGAUAAAAGCUUUAUGCUUUUGCAGUCAAUACGUCUUUAGGAUAUCUUACAGUGGGAUUCGAGAAACCUUACUAAGAUACUGGCAUCUGUCCCAAAAGUGAUUGACGUCAAAGGAGAGACAUGGACGAACCGGGACAAAGCAGCGUCACUUCUGCGUGUUUUCCAGGCGUUCCCACGAAGCACCAGCAGCCUUGUAACUAGUGACGGGUUUGACCUGUCCCUCUCGGCUGCAUCGACCCAGCGAGCGAGGUGAGCAGUGGCAGCAGCGUGAGGGCCGUAGCUGCGGUGGUGGCUGUCAGCGUGGAUUCUGGUUACGGCUCAGCGCGCUCGGGCCGGCCCGCACGAGGAGUGAGGGAUCUCCCUGCAGCUGCAGUGGGACGAAGGGGCCAGGUGUUUCCCAGUGCCGGCCAGAGUGUUCGCCCUUACGCUAAGAACGUGUUCAAAAUGUCAUCGGCUAGCCUUAAUCCUGGCUUUGAGAGUUGAGCUGGUGCUGGCUUUUGAAGGCUGUGCUGUGUUUGGAGCUGAGCUGUUUCCCCAGAAUCCUCCUGUAGCUCAGCUCCUGUCCCGUCCCUCGGUCUGAGGGAAUUCCUCUACUCUCUUCUCUUCUGCCCUACUUUUUUAGCACGCUGAACUCUAACUGGGGAUUUUUGUUUUCCAGGUGCCUCGUUGUAGGUGUCUCGUGCUGCUCGAGAGAUGCCCCAGGCCAGGUUUGCAGCUGGUGGCGGAGCCCCACUGAGGGGAAGGGGCCAGCCCUGGGUCUGGGCAUUGUGUUCCUUUUUUGGGGGGGAAUAAAAAAAGGGGACACGUGUGUGUGUGUGUCUGGGGGGCGAUGGUGUCAUUGGGGACGCUGUGACGUCACCGGGGCAGGGAUGCGAUGGGUCGGCGGAGGAGCAGGUGAGUGGGGGAUGUGGGGGUUACGUGGAGUUCCCCCAGGAGAGGCGCGUGCGCUGUGGCCCCGCCCUCGGCCCGCCCUGGCCCCACCCGCGGUGGCGCUGUGCGUUGGUUCCGCAGCUCGUGCGGAGCGCGGCGUUGCGGAGGCCGGUGCGGUGAGAGUCUCCAGAGAGCGGCAGCCAGAGGGCAAACCAGGACCGCUGGGACUCCGGCGAGAUCCGCGCUACCUGGAGCGUGAUCGGUGCCGCCCGGCCGGCCUCGAGAGCGGCCGUAUGCGGUGCAGUAUCGGCUGUUAGGCGUUACUGCGCCGUCAGUUUUACGGGUGUCCAUCUCCAUGGCAAGGCGGUCAUUCAGGACCCUGGAAGUGCCCCCUCAGUCCUCCGAUGCGUGUCUCUAUGGCACUUUAGUCGUCCAGGCGCCCCCUCAGUCCUCCGACUCGCAUCUCUAUAGCACUUUAGUCUUCCAGGAGGCCGGAAGUGCUCUCUCAGUCCUCCAGCGUGCGUGUCUAUGGCACUUCAGUGCUCCAAGAGCCCGUAAAUGCUUGUCAGUCUUCUGGAAAUCAUACGCUUCUAGCACUCUUCCGAAACCAUAAAACAUGAUUAACAGUUAAACACAAAAAUAUCUGAAGAUCGCAAAAAUAAAGUGACCCCCGCAUAACUCUCCACAGCAACAACUGGACAGAAAUCAAAAGUGGCAAGAGAAUGCUCGUCCCCUAGUGCCGUAAAGCUGUACUGCGCAUGCGCACGCCUAGUGCAGUAGGGCUGUACUGCGCAUGCGGCGCGUUCUGUGCCAUACAGCUGUAAGGCGCAUACGUGCCCCAGUGCCGUAGAGCUGCACUGUGCAUGCGCGACGUUUCACCGUACAGCUGCACUGCGCAUGUGCGCCCCCUAGUGCCGUAAAGCUGUACGGCGCAUGGCGCCCCUUAGUGCCGUACGGAUGCACUGCGCGUGCGCGAUGCUGUCCGCCGUACAGCUAUAUUGCGCAUGCGCGCCCCCAGUGCCGUACGGAUGCACUGCGCAUGCGCGACGCUGUCUGCCGUACGGGUGUACUGCGUGUGCACCGCCCGUGGUGCCGCACCGCUUGGUUGGCGUGGCCGCUCGGUCUGGUCUGCCCUGCUUGGCCCCCGUGAACGCGUUAUGAGGUAGCUGGAUUGCGUGAAGGACAAGGAGUCGUACAGUGAGCUGUACUGGAAGGUCUGCGAGAGGCUCAGCACCUUCUCCGAGGUCAUUGUCUUUGACUUCAAGGGAAUGUCCCCCAUGACUGGCAUGUUUCCCCCCCCCCCAGCGCAGGCUGCCCCCUCACCAGUUGUUCCUCAGGGGCCUGUGCCGUCGCCAUCCAUGUCACAGGGGACACCAGCUCCUGCCAAAUGCUCUGGGAGCGCUGGAGCCUGACAGCAUCUCGGCAAAGGAGAGAUGAGCGAGGAAGCGAGCGGGGACCCCCUGGAUGCAGAGAGGAGGAUAAAGGAGCUGCGGAGCAGAGACCAAUGGGGGCUCGGAUGGGAUGAGAGAGAGGGAAAGAGAGAUGAAGUGCCACAAGGUGCCCCAGGUAUUUGCUCUAAAGCUUUAAAAAGAGGGAACUGAAUGUAACGGAUUUUUUUACCCCUGAUAUUUACACAGCAUGCUCUAAAGUACUUUAUUUCUGUCUGGCUUUCAGUGGCGUGUUUCCUCAGCAGCCCAGUAGCAUCUCUCUCAGGCAGUGCUGCUGGCCAGAUGUCCCUCCUCGUUGCGUAGCACACAAAAAACCUUGUAGUCCAAUUAUAACUAUGUAUUUUGGAGAGAGAUAGUGUUAUGGUAUCAAUUCCCAGCUGUGGAAGUGAAAUCAGUGCCUGAAGAAAGUCAAAUACUUUUAUAGCGUAAGUAUUUUUAUUCGGUGUAUAUAAACCUAACGCACACCUUUUCACCGAAAGGGAAGGGACAAGGCAUUUCCCAACACCAGUGAGAAGGUUUACUGUUACGCUAAGAACGUGUUCAAAAUGGCAUCGGUUAGCUUUAAUCCUGACUUCAAGAGUUGAGCUGGCGCUGGCUUUUGCAGGCUGUGCUGUGUUUGGAGCUGAGCUGUUUCCCCAGAAUCCUCCUGUAGCUCAGCUCCUGUCCUGUCCCUCUGAUGGAAUUCCUCUACUCUCUUCCGGGCUAUUUUUUAAGAUACUGAGCUAUAACUGGGGAUUUUUGUUUUCCAGGUGCCUCGUUGUAGGUGUCUCGUGCUGCUCGAGAGAUGCCCCAGGCCAGGUUUGCAGCUGGUGGCGGAGCCCCUCGCCCCGAGGGGAAGGGGCCGGCCCUGGGUCUGGGAGUUUUGGGGCUUUUUUGGGGGGGAAUAGAAGGGUGUCUGUCUGUGUGUGUGUCUCGGGGGGUGAUGGUGUCAUUUGGGACACUGCAACAUCACUGGGGUUUGGGUCUCCCAAACGAGGUGGUUCACAGCCCCAAAACGUCUGAAAAUCUUGGAAUGCGUUAAAAAAAUGUGAAAACCUGUAACUAUGGGCGUGAGGCACUGAAAUAGAGAACAAUCUCUCAUUUAUAUAUGAGAAAUAUAUAUACUGAGAAAUAAUAUUAUGUAUGUAAAAUAACUUCAAAAUAAAAACCUCUAUG